ACUUUUAUAGGAAAGCAGCAAUCCAUUGGUUUUAGGCACCAAAAAUCUUGGUGCAACUCCAAGUAGAAGUA
rnacentral:tRNA from 1 species